CUGGUUCAGGACGAACGCUGGCGGCGUGCCUAAUACAUGCAAGUCGAACGGUCUUUCUAUGGAAGCUUGCUUCCACUGAGAAGAUAGUGGCGAACGGGUGAGUAACACGUGGGUAACCUGCCCAUAAGAGGGGGGAUAACAUCCGGAAACGGGUGCUAAUACCGCAUAGUUUUCUUGAUCGCAUGAUCGGGAAAGGAAAGACGGCCUUUGUGCUGUCGCUUAUGGAUGGACCCGCGGCGUAUUAGUUAGUUGGUGAGGUAACGGCUCACCAAGACGAUGAUACGUAGCCGACCUGAGAGGGUGAUCGGCCACAUUGGGACUGAGACACGGCCCAAACUCCUACGGGAGGCAGCAGUAGGGAAUCUUCCGCAAUGGACGAAAGUCUGACGGAGCAACGCCGCGUGAGUGAAGAAAGGUUUUCGGAUCGUAAAACUCUGUUGUCAGAGAAGAACAAGUUGGAGAGUAACUGCUCCAGCCUUGACGGUAUCUGACCAGAAAGCCACGGCUAACUACGUGCCAGCCGCUGC
rnacentral:rRNA from 1 species